UUUUAUUUAAAUGCUAAAACAUUGAAUGAAACACCCAAAUUCAGUGAAAGUAGUGAACUAAUCUUUCAUUUUACGUGUGAAGAGCGUGAUAUGGAACCAUCCAUGUUAUUUCUUUCUU